CGAAGGGGGCUAGCGUUGUUCGGAAUUACUGGGCGUAAAGCGCGCGCAGGCGGUUUUUCAAGUCAGUGGUGAAAGCCCGGAGCUCAACUCCGGAACUGCCAUUGAAACUGUAAAACUUGAGGACGAGAGAGGUGAGUGGAAUUCCCAGUGUAGAGGUGAAAUUCGUAGAUAUUGGGAAGAACACCGGUGGCGAAGGCGGCUCACUGGCUCGUAUCUGACGCUCAGGCGCGACAGCGUGGGGAUCAAACAGGAUUAGAUACCCUGGUAGUCCACGCCGUAAACGAUGAAUGCUAGCCGUUGGGCAGCUUGCUGUUCAGUGGCGCAGCUAACGCAUUAAGCAUUCCGCCUGGGGAGUACGGCCGCAAGGUUG
rnacentral:rRNA from 1 species